AAAAUAAUCCUACCCUUUGUGAAUUUUGUUUGUUUGAAUAAUUUUUUUUUUUUAAAAAAUUAUUGGAGUCUUUCCCUUUAGAGUUUGCUUUUGAGUUUGUAAAAGAAUUCGAAAACAUCUAAAGGGGAUGGUCAAUAAUUUUUUUUGAAAAAAGACAUUUUUUAAAAUUAAACUUUUUGUAUUCAUUUGUCUAAAAAUUAUUUUUAUAAUAUAAAAACAACUUUUGACAAUGGAUCUCUUGGUUCUCGCAACGAUGAAGAACGCAGCAAAAUGCGAUAAGUAGUGUGAAUUGCAGAAUACGUGAAUCAUCGAAUCUUUGAACGCAUAUUGCACUUUUUUAGUUUACUAAAAAAGUAUGUCUGUUUGAGUAUCAGUAAAAUAUUCUCAUAAAAAUCAUUGUGUAUUUUUAUGGUUAUGAGUGUUUUACAACGAUACAAGUUGUUUCACUUUAAAUUUUUUUUUAAUAUUGAAAUUUUUCUAAUUUUAAUAAUUAAAAUUGGAUAAAAUUUUCCCGUCAAAAGGAAUAACCUAAACAAUUUUAAAUGAUUAAUUUUAGCAAAUUUUCGUAAAAAAGGAAAAUUUUUAUUAAAAUAACUUGAUCUCAAAUCAGAUAAGAGUACCCGCUGAACUUAAGCAUAUCAAUAAGCGGAGGAAAAGAAACUAACAAGGAUUCCCUUAGUAACGGCGAGUGAAGCGGGAAGAGCUCAAUUUGAAAUCUUCAAGGUUUUACCUUGACGAAUUGUAGUUUAAAGAAGUGUUUUCUGCUGAAGUUUUGGUAAAAGUUCUUUGGAAUAGGACAUCAUAGAGGGUGAGAAUCCCGUAUUUGACCAUUAUUUUCAGCUUUGUGAUACACUUUCAAAGAGUCGGAUCGUUUGGGAAUGCAGUCCAAAAUGGGUGGUAAAUUUCAUCUAAAGCUAAAUAUUGGCGAGAGUCCGAUAGCGAACAAGUACCGUGAGGGAAAGAUGAAAAGAACUUUGAAAAGAGAGUUAAACAGUACGUGAAAUUGUCAAAAGGGAAGCGUUUGACACCAGUGUUGUUUUCUCGAAAAUCAAUUAAAAAUGGCUCGAUUUUGUAUUGCUGAGACCUUAAAAGCUCACUGUACAUUUUUCGUGUCUUUUUUAAUGCACUUUUCGUUUAACAAGUCAACAUCAGUUUCUUUUGUUGUAAAAGGGUCAUUGGAAGGUGGCUUUCUUUUCGGAGAAAGUGUUUAUAGCCUUUGGCCUCUGCAAUCGGAGAGACUGAGGUCUGCAGCGUAGACUCUUCGGGGUUAGAUACAUUUGUGCUAAGUUAUAGCUUUUUAUAGACAACUUGUUGACUAUAAUUAGUCUUGUAGCUUACUCGCUUAUGCUAUUUUACCUACGC
rnacentral:misc_RNA from 1 species